GAAAUGCGAUAAGUAGUGUGAAUUGCAGAAUUCAGUGAAUCAUCGAAUCUUUGAACGCACAUUGCGCCCGCCAGUAUUCUGGCGGGCAUGCCUGUUCGAGCGUCAUUACAACCCUCAGGCCCCCGGGCCUGGCGUUGGGGAUCGGCGGAAGCCCCCUGCGGGCACAACGCCGUCCCCCAAAUACAGUGGCGGUCCCGCCGCAGCUUCCAUUGCGUAGUAGCUAACACCUCGCAACUGGAGAGCGGCGCGGCCACGCCGUAAAACACCCAACUUCUGAAUGUUGACCUCGAAUCAGGUGGGAAUACCCGCUGAACUUAAGC
rnacentral:misc_RNA from 1 species